rnacentral:rRNA from 1 species
GACGAACGCUGGCGGCGUGCUUAACACAUGCAAGUCGAACGGAAAGGCCCUGCUUUUGUGGGGUGCUCGAGUGGCGAACGGGUGAGUAACACGUGAGUAACCUGCCCUUGACUUUGGGAUAACUUCAGGAAACUGGGGCUAAUACCGGAUAGGAGCUCCUGCUGCAUGGUGGGGGUUGGAAAGUUUAGGCGGUUGGGGAUGGACGCGCGGCUUAUCAGCUUGUUGGUGGGGUAGUGGCUUACCCAGGCUUUGACGGGUAGCCGGCAUGAGAGGGUGACCGGGCACAUUGGGACUGAGAGACGGCGCAGACUCCUACGGGAGGCAGCAGUGGGGAAUAUUGCACAAUGGGCGGAAGCGUGAUGCAGCAACGCCGCGUGCGGGAUGACGGCCUUCUGGUUGUAAACCGCUUUCGCCUGUGACGAAGCGGGAGUGACGGUAAUGGGUAAAGAAGCACCGGCUAACUACGUG